rnacentral:tRNA from 1 species
AGUUAAUGAACUUGUUAAAGUAUGUAUUUUGAAAAUACAAAAAAGAGAAUUAAUCCUCUAUUAACUU